CCGGUGUUACAUGAUGAAUACCAAACCUAAUGCAUAGUUCAUCUGAAUCUACUGAAGACAAACUUACCUUUAUUUUCUUUCGCUCCCAUCUGACUCAAACACCUU
rnacentral:snoRNA from 1 species